GGGCCCGUCGUCUAGCCUGGUUAGGACGCCGCCCUCACACGGCGGAGGUCCGGGGUUCGAGUCCCCGCGGGCCCACCA
rnacentral:tRNA from 2 species